UGGGGAAUAUUGGACAAUGGGGGGAACCCUGAUCCAGCCAUGCCGCGUGUGUGAAGAAGGCCUUAUGGUUGUAAAGCACUUUAAGCGAGGAGGAGGGUACUGGUAUUAAUACUACCAGGUACUGGACGUUACUCGCAGAAUAAGCACCGGCUAACUCUGUGCCAGCAGCCGCGGUAAUACAGAGGGUGCGAGCGUUAAUCGGAUUUACUGGGCGUAAAGCGUGCGUAGGCGGCUAAUUGAGUCGGAUGUGAAAUCCCCGAGCUUAACUUGGGAACUGCAUCCAAAACUGGCGAGCUAGAGUAGGGCAGAGGGUGGUGGAAUUUCCUGUGUAGCGGAGAAAUGCGUAGAUAUAGGAAGGAACACCAGUGGCGAAGGCGACCACCUGGGCUCAUACUGACACUGAGGUGCGAAAGCGUGGGGAGCAAACAGG
rnacentral:rRNA from 1 species